rnacentral:rRNA from 1 species
AUUGAACGCUAGCGGGAUGCCUAACACAUGCAAGUCGAACGAGUGGCGGACGGGUGAGUUAUAUAUCGGAACGCGCGCAGUAGCGGGGGAUAAAUUCUCGACAGUGUGUCUUAUACCACAUACUAUUGGAGACGCCGAUAUCGGUUUAGCUAGUUGGUGGGGUAAAGGCUCACCAAGGCGACGAUCCGUAGCUGGUCUGAGAGGACGACCAGCCACACUGGGACUGAGACACGGCCCAGACUCCUACGGGAGGCAGCAGUGGGGAAUUUUGGACAAUGGGGGAAACCCUGAUCCAGCCAUCCCGCGUGUAUGAGAAGGCCUUCGGGUUGUAAAGUACUUUUGGUAGGGAAGCGGUAUCUGCAGAAUAAGCACCGGCUAACUACGUGCCAGCAGCCGCGGUAAUAC